UACGGAGGGAGCUAGCGUUAUUCGGAAUUACUGGGCGUAAAGCGCACGUAGGCGGAUUGUUAAGUCAGGGGUGAAAUCCUGGAGCUCAACUCCAGAACUGCCUUUGAUACUGGCGAUCUUGAGUCCGGGAGAGGUGAGUGGAACUGCGAGUGUAGAGGUGAAAUUCGUAGAUAUUCGCAAGAACACCAGUGGCGAAGGCGGCUCACUGGCCCGGUACUGACGCUGAGGUGCGAAAGCGUGGGGAGCAAACAGG
rnacentral:rRNA from 1 species